UUGUAAAUGUGAAAAAAUCAUUAGAAGUUUUGAACGAACUAUUGAAUUUGGGGAUGUUACACUCUUCCGAGUUCGAUGGUUUAGCAGCAUUUGAGGAUGGGGAGAAUUCGAAAGAGAAAGGAUUUGAGGAUUUAUCAAAAUGGAACUUUGAUCCAAAAGAAGAAUGAAUUGACUGUUCAUUGGACGAAAAAAGAUUGGAUGCACGAGACUUAUAUACUGAAGGUUUAGACUCUGGUAUUUUACCGUCAUUAGAAGGAUGCUUUGAAGAAUCUUUCGGUCCCCCUUUUUUCUGUUUCAUUGCUGAUUUAGGAAGAUAAUCAGAAUUAUUGUUUUCUUUCUUCAAGCUUUCAGGUUCUUGCCUCUUUACGCGAAUACCAAUACCUGACCGAGGAUCAUAUUUCAUAUUGUAAAUGUGAGAGUACUCGGUAUCUCUUGGAAAUGAAGGCUUUUUGUUGAAAUGUUCCUUUUUUCGAGUAGAACUUUUUUUUGAAUACUUCUCGGAAGAUUCUUGGGGCUUCUUCGUAGUUGAGGCAAAUGGAGAAGACCAUUUUGAAUUUUUCCCUUUAUUAUAGGAAGCAUACGCACUUGUAUGCUUACUGGGAUUCGAAGUAGAAUUAGGCUUAUAUUGAGAUCUUGUACGAGUACUAAGACCAAACAAUUGAUCAUAAAUGAGACGCUUAGUAGCGUCACUUAAAACUUCAUGAGCCAACUGUAACCUUUGAAAGCGCUUUACUGCCCGCUCUUCGUCUCCAGGAUUCCUAUCUGGAUGAUACUGUAAAGCCAAGAACAAGUAUUGUUUUCGAAUUUGUUGGAAGGUAGCAUUUUUUUGGAGUUUUCUGUAAUAAAUUACAUGUUAGUAUCAAAAAUUACGCCUCCAAAAUAAAAAGCUUACAAAAUAGCAUAAUAGUCCACUGAGGUAUCUGUUUCGGGCCUUGCUAGCAUUUUAGAUCAUUCUGAAAUUGAUGAUAUAUUGCUUCUUAUUAUAUGGACGAAUUUAAAGCCCUUUGUACAAUUUCAAUUGAAUUCAACGACAAACUUUGUAUGUAAAUUGAAUUGAGAACACUGCUCCACCUAGUUUACUUUAGAGGUAUCUCUGAACUGGACUA